UACGGAGGGGGCUAGCGUUGUUCGGAAUUACUGGGCGUAAAGGGCGCGUAGGUGGAAUGCCGAGUCAGGCGUGAAAGCCCCAGGCUCAACCUGGGAACUGCGUUUGAUACUGGCAAUCUAGAGUCCGGGAGAGGGUGGUGGAAUUCCCAGUGUAGAGGUGAAAUUCGUAGAUAUUGGGAAGAACACCAGUGGCGAAGGCGGCCACCUGGACCGGUACUGACACUGAGGCGCGAAAGCGUGGGGAGCAAACAGG
rnacentral:misc_RNA from 1 species